UUAUCCUUACCCAUACAAGUCACCACCACCACCACCUCUCCACCACCACAAACCACCAACACUACCACCUCCUCCUGUUUACCACUACAAAUCACCACCUCCCCCUCCCCAUGUCUACAAGUAUAAAUCUCCACCACCACCUCCUUACCACCCCAUAUCACCAGCUCCUCCUCAUCAUCAUGCCUACAAGUAUAAAUCUCCACCACCACCUCCUUACCACCCUGCUCCUAUCUACAAGUACAAGUCACCACCUCCCCUCAUCAUGCUUACAAAUAUAAAUCUCCACCACCCCCUCUUCACCACCCUGCUCCUGUCUACAAGUACAAGUCACCACCUCCUCCUCACCAUGUCUACAAGUACAAAUCUCCACCACCCCCUCGCCAUUACAAGGCACCUUGUCCUCCUUCCCCUGUCUACAAAUAUAAAUCACCACCACCCCCUCCCUACCAUCACAUAUCACCAACCCUACCUCCCUACCACGACAAGUCACCACCACCACCCCCUCCUGUUUACAAGUAUAAAUCACCACCGCCACCUCCCUAUCACUACAAGUCACCACCACCUCCCCCUCCAGUCUACAAGUAUAAGUCUCCUCCACCACCUCCACAUGUUUAUCACUACACUUCACCUCCUCCUCCUCCCUAUCACUAUUAAGCGGCAGAACACCGUCGAAACCAAAAGGGUUAGUUGCUUGUAUUUUCUGAGCUCAGAAUAUGGUUAAAAAUGAAGUUACUUGGAGUAAUAACAAACGGAUGUUUCUUGUUCUUUCUUUCUUUGUUUUCUUUCUCUUUUUUUUUUAAGAGAGCUAAUUAAUUAAGCCGAAGCCAAAUGGAAAACACAUGGGCAAUUUUAAAACAGCACCAUUGGAACAUAACCCCCCUCUCGUUUUUUAUUAUUUUGCAGGGAUGAAGACUUAUCUUUCCUGAUGGUUGCCAUAUAUGAACCAGCAUCAAGUGCAGGUUUUACUAGGGUUGUGGAGAGUAGAAUAAAGCAAUCGAGGUUCCUUCUACAAAAGAAGUGGCCCCUGAUGCUUCUAUGGAGUGAAUAAAGUUGCUUUAUAUCGUGUAAUGCAGAAGCAUCUGCUUAGUAGCUGGAAAAGAGUGGAAAGAGGAGAUAAGCAUAUGUACUUGCUCUUUCCUGCUUUUGAAUUGUAUUUUUGUUAGUAUUUUGGCAAAUCUCUAGGGAUUUCCUUCAAUCCCUCCUACUAUGUUCAGUUAUAACCCAGAAGUUAUUACAAUCAUAACUGUACUUGCAAGUAGCCAGUAGAAGCAUGUAUGUCCAGUUGUUGAAUGCACGCAUUAUACAAAGUUUCGGGUAUCUGAAGUAAUUAAAAAGUGGCCAUGAAGAGUGAAAAGCUCUUACAUUUAAGGACUAAUUAAUUUGCAUGGAGCGGUUUGUCAUCAUAGUAGAGACAUGAUGAAGAUAAGUUUGAACAGCUAGUGAUGGAGCAAAAGAGGAUGAAAAUGGGGAAAAUCCUAGAACUGUAAAUGAGGAAGUGACUUUAAGUCGAUAAGUAGUUCGACAUCAUGAUCAUACCUAUGAUCAAAUGCAGCUAGCUACAGAUGAGAUUUAUGCAUACUAAAUUUGUUGUUAUUCAUGACCCACCCUUACAUCAACUAUAGCAAUUACAAUAUUGAUUGCAGUUAGGCCAUUUGAAUUUCUACAAAGAACACCUCGAACUACCAAAUUAAUAAGCACUCAGUGAUACCACAAUGAGGCAGCUAAUAAUCUACAAAUCUUGUGGGCCGCAAACAUAAUCCCUAGCUUAUGUUUUCCAUGAUAGAAAUGAUUAAGCCAGUCAGAAAAAACUGACUUCAAAGAGUCACCCUAUGCGAGCAUUACUCCUCUCAUAAUCUCCCUUAAAGAAAGAGCACGCCGCCCAUAUAAGAAUUGCAUGGUAGAACUCUGCAAGUAAUCAUGCCAACCCUCGUUCCUGGGAUCGAUUGAAGGAGGGAGAGAAGCCAUGAUCUCAUGAAACAGCAUUUAUCUUUUUGCUAAUAUUAUCAGGUCUAUGAAUUAAGCUUGAGAGGCAACGCCAGUCCAGAUCAAGACUGAAUCAUAAUGCAUGGUCCCAAAAUGUGGUUAGAAGUGUAAAAUAUGAACUAAAUUAAAGCAGAGAUCAAAAGGACAAUUAAGGCCAUUAUCAGGAAAAGCAGACAGCCGAUACAGAUUUUUGUACAACCUUUGGACUGGAUUGCUUGGAUGGCAAACUGCCGACAAAGACUGAAAGAUCCCUAAAUUAUUGUGAGGUUUCUGACGUAUUCUCUUAGCUGUCUUCUUCCUCCUCCUCCUCCUUUUUAUUUUUUAAUUUGUGUGCCUUGUAUCAUUCACAAUCUUCUGAAAACUUUUCGUUGUAGAUUACGACAUUACUGUUGUUCAACUUCUCUUUCCCUAUCCACUGGUUCUUGCACCAAGCUGGAAAGGAGAGAGGUCAGUGUAGGGUCAUGGAACCAGAAUUUGGUGGCUCAGAUACGUGCCCACCUUCACCCUCAAAGCUGAAACUGAAAGUGCACAGAAGUAGAGAAGGCAAUGAAGAGCUUGAUUAGUCAAAAGAUCGCCAAGAUGAAGACCUUACAGGAAAGAAAAAUCUUAAGCUGGACUUCACUCUUGGAGGGUAGCUUUGGCAGCAACUUCCACGCAAGCUGCAAUAAUUGGAGGCCUUUUCUUUCAAACAUGAUCAUAUCCUAGCAAUAAAGGAGAACCAUGUUGGAUCUAGGAAAAGUGUGCAUGGAGUCUAAUGGACAGCAAUAAUUUUAACUAAUUAGAAUCACGUAAUGGUCGUGUUUUAAAGAAAGAUUGGGCUACUUUCAUUUGUUAGCUUUUAUAUAAGCGUGCCUCUGUCUCCUCUCCAAAACCAUAUAAUUAACUCUUUGCAUGAAAUGUUACCUAUUUUUUUUUAAAAAAUAUAUUCUUUAAUUAGUUUUUUCUAUCUAAUUCUAAGGAUGAUCUAGCUUUUCUGCAAUUUUUUUCUUUACAACUUUGCCACCAAUCGAUCCCGCCAUACUUAUGUGAUUUGACUUCGCUUUUUGUGACUUUUUAUAUAUAUAUAUAUAUGUCUUUACAGCUUUGUUACUCUUGAGCUACGUACUAUUGAUCCUAUAAUAAUUGCAUGCUUUAGCUUUUGUGAUGAUUCUUUUGUCUUUACAACCUGGCCGCUCUUCUCCCACUAGUUUAUUCUGUCGUAUUUCUGUGCUUUGCAUUUGCUUUUUCCGCGAUGUAUAUAUUCUUGUCUAUGGAUUAUGUAACUCAUAAGUGGCGCUUGGACUGUCAGUACUACAUGGCAAUCCAAUUAGCACUGCGACUGGGCUCGCUCAGAGAUGCAAACAACAGCUACUCCCCCACCCUCCCCAGAGUGGGGCCUUUGUGGUAGUGAUCAGGUCAGAAACUACGUACUUACUCUCCAGUAAAAAGAGUGAAUACGUAAUUAUCAAAAUAACUAGCUCAUCAUAAUCAGGCAGACAUUGAGCUUUACAUGAAGAACCAAAGCUUCCACUAUCAGCAAAAUGGAAUAAAUUAGCUUUCAGAUCCGUCCAUUCCUAAGUCACUUAUGAGUAUUUCGAAUACAGACCUAGCCAGCCUGCAAUUCUAUAGUUCUGCUGGUCAUACUAGCUCAACCCAUAAAUGCCAUAUAUUUUCAACCAAUCAUUCAAAUAGAUCUUAUAUAUUUAAAUCUAAUAUACUAUAUUUUUUUAAUAAAUCAAAUAGAUAUAAAUAUAUCUGCCAGAGUUAGCGAGGGUUAGAAUUCUAUAAUAUACUUACGGUAUAGUUGAUACAUAAGAUACUAUUCAAUCGACUGCAGUGUUAAUUUUUUAUACAAAACAUUUUAAUAAAAAAUAAUAUAUGCAUCACAUGCAAAUAAUUUUUUUUUUUUAUGCAUGAAAAAUCUCAGGGUGCAUCCAAUGGCAACAAUCCACGCAGAAGGGUUGGAAUCUACUGACCCUCGCACCGUCAAUCGUUACAGUGGAGACGUGCAAUAAUUGAGUUAUAACGAGGGAACAUCAUCUUGGGACGUGGAGUGUCGGUAGAGCCCGGAGGGCGGGCCCGGUCGGCCAGCCUGGUGUCUCGCUUUCCGCGUCGCCUUGGCCAUUUUUUCCAUGCACGUUAUCAUCACACUCAGCAUCUGACCCUUUUGUUUCUUGUCCCUGCUUGCUUCCGUCUUAUCGGAAUGAGAUUCCACUGCUACUUCCCGUUGUAAUCCGGCAUUAGCUCCCGCUGUCCACCUCCACAUGCGACCCAUUUCUUUCAUGGGCCCCCUCUCUCCUUUCCCACAACCAUCCCCAAUUCUCCACAAUUCGAGUCCAAUAUCCACAUUGUCAACGCUUCAAAUGCUCAAUCAUUAGCCAAAUGCAAAUAAUGCUAGGAGAAAAUCUGGAUCCAUCUUUGAAUUGACUGCUAACUCCUCAUCUUUGGAUUAUCCAUUUAGAUAUAGAACUGAAAUAGGAUCAUCUCCGAAUCUAAUACCAGUGUAUUUAUAUUCAUGUAUAUUUUAUUUUGAUGAAUAUAGAUAUGAAUAUGAAUGCUAUAUUUAUUUUAAAUAGAUACGGAUAUAAAAUCGGAUGCUAUUAUAUAUAUAAAUAUGGAUAUAAGUUUAAUUAAAUUUUAUAAUCAUAGAAUCUAAAGAUAUUGCUAAAUAGAUGAUAAAUCUAAUUAAUAGCAUGUUAAUGUAGUCGUUUAUCUUUCUUAAAAGUUUAUAAGUGCUAUAUAAAAUUAGAUGGAGUUACAAAUAGAGUCGAACAUAGAUAUGGAUACGGAUAUUAGUCAGAUGCUCAAAUUGCUAUUUAGAUUCGAAUAAAUUCGGAUAAAAAAUAGAUACAGAUGGAUAUUAUUCGAUCUACUUUCACUUCUAUUUACAGAUCAAGCUCAACCAUGUAUAAGGACUAAAAUGUAAAAUGAUAUCCACAUAAAAUGGCAUUCAACAAAGGACCAGAUGGUAAGUUUCCCAAUAAUAUUUGAUCGAUGUAGGAGAAGCAUGAUGAAUAUAGUCUAGACUGAACCGGGGAUGCUUAACUCGAUCUCCUGAUGCGACAGCAUUAGGCCAAUGGACACUCCAUUUGCCCUGGGUGGAAUCAAGAUCGGGGUGUUUAUAAAUCAUGCUUUCAACUGCAUGCACAGAAUGCAAAUGAUGCUAUCCAUCAGUGCUCAUUAAUGCAAUGGGAUCAAGAGGCAAGAAUCAACUCCAGGAACCAUGCCUGAAACUAAUCAGGAAUCUCGAUCUUAGAUCAUGUUGGUAACCACAUUGCCAGGGCUAAGGGCCCUGGUGAAUAUAAAUGUGUUUUAAUCUAUAUUCAACAAAGAGACAUUAGUUUGAUCAGUGUUUAAUAUAUUGACAAGUACUUAUGAACCCAUUGCUGCAAUCUAUAAAUUUUUAUUUUUCUUUAUAUAAUUUUUUUAAUUUUCUUUAUUUAAUAAUUUUCUAUUCAAUAUAUAUAUCUGACUAUUUUAAUUUAAAAUUAUUCUAAUCACCAAUAUUUUACUCAAUUAUGAUUAACUUGACUUAAAAUAAUUUCAAAUUUUCUUCAUUUAAAAAAUUGUCCUCAUUGAUUAUUUACUUUUCUUUAUUUCUUAAUUUUCUUUACUCAGAUAUUUUCUACCCAUGAUAAUUAUUCAACUACAAAUCCGAAAUAGUUUCAAAUUUUCUUUGUCUGACUUUUUCUUCAAUGUAAAUAUCCGACCACAUCAAUUGUACUCAAUUAUGAUUAGCUAGAAUUUGAUAUAAUGUUCUAUAUUCAAAAUAUUUUUACUCGUUCACUAUAUAUUUAUGUUAGAAUAAAUUAUAAAAACCUCCUUAAGAUCAAAGAUAAAUUGCACUUACACCUAAUAAUUUGAAAAGGCUACAUUUAUCUCCUUGAGGCUUAUUUUAUAAAACACUUUAACUCAUAACUUAGCAAAACAUUAGCUAGACUGUUAACAUUAAAUAAAACCCGAAAAAAAUUGAAGAAUGACCAAAACAAUCUUAAGUGAUAUAACCACCACUCAACGAACUAAAAAAAUAUAUACAUUCUUCCCUUCAUCCAAAGACAAUUUUGACUUUUUACCUAAGAUGAACAACCUUGCUAACAUUAUUAAUUUAACUAAACGUAAGUAUACAUUUUUAUAAACUAUAAAAUAUAAAUGUAAUAAGGAUAAACAUUAGGAGAAUUUUUGUGAUUUACUCUUAAUUUUAUUUAUUUGGCAUUUUUUUAGAUUUCUUAUUUAGAUGUUUUACAUUCACCAUAAUUAUCUGAUUGUGGCAGAUAUUUUCUAUAUCUAACCAAUUUGUAUAGCAUAAUUUUAACUAGCAUGAGAUUUUUACGCAUUUUAAAAAGAGGGGGUAACUUCGGGACUGAAAAUGACUGAUGAAAUCUGAAAGUAAUAUUUGGACUCAUGCUGCAGCAAGGUCUCACCCUCCUGGAAAUGGACGAGUUAGCUUACUUGUAAAUCUUAGCUACGAUCGGACACCCAUCAGAAAUUCAACGAAUAUCACCAUAUGGUUAACAAAGUGUAUGCAGUAAAGAUGCCCCAGCCUGCUGAAUCCCUUUACAUCAAUAACAUGAAGCUUCCAAGCAUUAUAAACUCCGAAAUAGAAGGAUGGUAACACAUCAACAGCCAAUAUUUAGUAUUUAAUACAAAAAAUCAGUAAAUUUUCAAUUCUUACAAGUCUCUUUCACUAAUCUUCCAAGUGACACACAUGCUUUCUGGCUUCCAGUAGAAAAGGUUCACUAAAGGAACAUUCACAAUAACAAUCAAAACUUGUGUGCGUGGCUUGCAGCUGGUAAGCUCGUAAUUCUUCUUGAUAAUGACAAUGGCAAUAACUAGUUACAACACAUGAACCAAAUCACAGAAAAAGAAAAUGUAGCAAAAAGAUAAUUGCAUACAUCAUGACAUCUCAACAACACUGCUUGCAUCUGCACAUGCCAACACCUCAGAAAAGAGUAGCCAGCAAAACAAAGUAUUCAUUAACCAGAUUGCUAAUAAAAUCACACGGAACAAUUAUGUUGCUGAUUGUUUUGGUAUCUUCCCUUCUUCCUGUUGACUUGUUUUCCCAGUUCCCUGCCAAUGCGGAAAAACAAAUGACUCGUCAACGUCAUGAGUUGCCCUACCAUACAAGAAACCUCAUUUAAAGAAGAGUAACUUUAUCAGAAUAAUGUUGAUACUUUAGCAGACAUAACAAAAAUACCAACACCUUAGAUUUGGAGGUCUGCCAUACCGACCCGUAGUGCCCUAUACCGAUCGUGCUGUACUAUACUGGUAAGGUAGUGAUAGGGUACUGAGGUUUGGUUCAAUAUAUCAGCCAAACUGGUCCAAACCGAGCGGAACUGCUCUACACAACCCAAUACUGGCCUGUAAUGCCCGGUUUUUGAGCAGUAAAUAGCUGAGAGAGAGAAAAGAGUGUUGCAAGCUUGAUGGAUGCCAUACCGAAUCGGUAACGUACCGAUAUGGUUUAGUACCAAUUUUGUGGACCUUGGAUUAAACAACUUCUAUUAUUAUGGGUGCACAGCUAGUCAACUUUAAAUUUAAUAACUAGAUGGAGGAUCUACCUGAAUUUGUUGCAAGAGUUCCUCAAGUUCAAUAGUUAUCUCCGAAAAAGAGGGUCGUUUCGCUGGAACCGCCUCCCAACAUCUUUUCAUCAACUCAACUAAUUUAGGAUGCGUAUUUUCCGGAAUCUCUGGACGCAAACCCUAGUAUCGCACAUAAAGAAGUAAUACGUAAAUAUGGUUAAAAACUAUAUAAAAAAAUAUUUUUAGCAUUUAGCCUACCAAUGAGUCAAUGAUAUCAUUUCCGGCAUUUAUUUGGAUUGAAAUCAUGGCUGUAAUAAUGUCUAUUAUUAGCCUUUUUAAAGGGGAACAGAUAAAACAAGCAAACUAUUUGAUCAUGACAAUAUUAAAAAACUUCUCUUUAUGUAGUUUGAUGGACAUUUAACUUUUAUUUUUUAUCAGAUGAGAAAUGAACAUGUCAAAUAACAGGUAUCAUUCUCCACCAUAUAAAAACUAUUACAUCAAAUAUCCAUUAUAUGUCCAACUAAAAGUUGGGCUUUCGAAACAUAUAAUUACCACUAUUCUAACCAUGUCACUGCCAAAAGUAUUUAUUUCAUGGAGAGAAAUUUUUACAAUAGACAUUGACACCUUGUAUAUUGAACUAACAAAAACAAUCAUGCAAGACAAUAGAAAGCUAGAGUCGGUCCAUGUGUGAAAAGCACUUAAAACCAAAGUUUUUUAAGUCCCAGUGGGACGAAAGGCGUCCCAGCCGUCCCGUCCCAUUCCUGUGAGAAAACGGGAAUAGGAUAGGGUUAGGAAUUCGAAACCCAUCCACAUGGGGAGAGAAGAAGAAAAGGAAAAAGUGGAAGGAAAGAAAAGAAAAAGAAGAAAGAAAGGAAGGGAGAACAAAAUGAAAGAAAGAAAGGAAAGAAGGAAGAAAGGAAAGCGAAAGAAGAAGAAAAAAUAAAUAAGAAAUACAGGAAAGGAUACAAGAAAGAAAAAGGAAAGGAAAGAACGAAAGGUAGAAGAAAAAGAAAGAAGGAAAUAAAGAAGAAAAAAAAAGAAAGAAAGAAAUGAAAGAAGAAGGGGGGAGAGAGACAGGAUGGUGUGGGACUUUGGGGCAUCCCGUUCCAUGAAGAAACCAGGACAUCCCCAUCACAUGAGAUUUAAAACUGUGCUUGAAAUAGUAAGUUACAAUCUUUCUGAUAAAAUAAUACAUUGGAUAGUAACACCAAGACACAUGGAGGAAUGUUAAUAAGACACAUGAAACAUAAUUUUUCAACCUAAAAUAUUUUCACAUGACAAGACUAGAGAGAAUUUGGAAAUAUGCGGACAUUGUCCUUGCAAUUCAGCCAAUGAACUUGAGCUAAAGCACCUAAGCUUGUCACAAGUAGGUAUGAAACAAUGAUAACCAUAGCAAUCUGUAACCAAGACAACUAGAUCCUUAUGAUCAACACAGAGAACAUUUUUCUAUGUGAUGAAAAAUACAAACCAGUCUUACUCCUAAUGCAGCUUGCAAGGGUGUCAUGGUUUCAUAUGGGACCUGCACAAUGACAUCAUAAACUUGUUACUCCACCUCAUAAUCAUAUGGUCCCAUCUUCCAAAAUUUGCUGGAUCAAUAAUCCAUAAGUUGAAAGAGGUGCAAUUUCAGCAUGUACCUUUGAUGUUACUAGCUCCCAGAGCACAAUGGAAAAACUGAAUACAUCAGCCUUAUGAUCAUAUGGUUGAUGAUUUAUAACCUGGAAAGAGCAAAGUUGUAAUAUAAAAAUCAGAAAAUAUGUUUAUCAUUAUUUAAAAUAUAAGUAUGAUAAUACUACUUUACAUGGUAUGAGGUAUGUAUCGAUUAUAAUUGUGGGAGAAAGUAAUUUUGAAGCAUUCACAAUUUAUUUUUCAGGUCAACACAUGUUUAUAGCUUCAAUUUUAUCUGAUAUGAGCCAUAACUUCACCCAUAUAGACCUAUAUCAUGCAAUGUAGUUAUUAUCAGCAAUACAGCUUAUAUAUAAAAUCCUGGAUGAUUAUCCACUUCUUUUAAUAAUUUCAUUUUGCAUCUUCUUCUUCCCACCAGGGCUCUAAAGUCUGCCUCAUGAACAACAGGAAGGAAUUUCAGCAGGAAAGCCCAUUCUAUAACUCUCUCUUUUUAUGGUUGUUUUCAUGAGAUUUUUAUUUCUAGCAAGGCCAAUGACAUCUUUUUUUUCUCCUUUUUAUGCCUCUUAUCCGAAAGAAUUGGUUUUGAUGGGUCUGCUGUCCUUGAAAAUGUCCUUUAUCAUUAAAAGAUUAUAUGAAAGUUUGAACAAUUUCUGCUUCAAGCUCUUUGCCUAUUUUUUAUUUUAUUCAAUUGAUGUUUAUGACCAUCAGGACAGAUACUAGAAGUGAUUUCUAAUUUCAUAUACUAAAUUACAUGUGAAUAACUCCUAUUAUUUCCAUAUGCUUUUGAACAACUCAUGUUUUUCAAUUUAAACAGAUCAUUUUCCUUUGAAACAAAUAGCAUUUGAUAAAGUUGAUGGCUUUUCAUUUGAACCAUAUAAAUUCAACCAACUUUUAGUUGACAUAAAUCAACAAAUUUUAGCAUUGAAUCACUUUGCUCAAAAACACAUCACUAGUCCAAUUGGACCGAUCCGGCCAAACCAACCCAACAUGAGGGAUGGGUGGUCUCGAUGGAUGCCUUCGAGCAGUGUCUAUCUCCCUGCCAUCAUAGAGAGGUAAGCAGUUGGGAAACCAUCACCAAGAGACGAGACUGGAUGUGCAAUUGCCACCAGAUAAAGGUGCAUGCAUGAUCCAUGCGGAACCAUUGCCUAACCGCAUCAGUGAGGAUGCAGCAAGCACAACCACCACCUUGUUCCCUCUCUCUUCAUCUUUCGAUUCGCUACCACCACUGCCAUUUCCAACCUCAAUCCUCUCCAUGCUCACCGUCCAGUGACUAUCUACCACCAAGGAAUCAACUUUUCCUCUCCUAUUUUUCAUUCUCUCUCCUCUGUUUCGAGUCACCAUCCUUCAGAUUCUUUCACCGUUGAGCACCACCACCACCACCUUCCUUCCUCCGGUGUCUCACUGUCAACAAUCACCGCAUCAGCGAGGGGCUCAUCGCCAACCAACUCUCCCUAUUCCCCCUUUUCUCAACUCCACCACCACCUCUCAAAUCCACUGCCGACAUUUAGUUCCACCACCACCUCUCGGCUCUCUCUCUCUCGCCCUUUCCCCUUUCUCAUAUCUAAGCUAGCCUGCCCUACCAAUCAGUGCCUAAGGGCCCCCAGUCACACUUUCCCCUAUUUUUUCCAUCAUCUCCAGACCCUUAUGCUCCACCUCCUGCGUUUUGAUUGUCGGUGCCUUGAUUCCAUCUUAAUGCAGUGCCCCGCCAAAUUUCAUCACCACCACCUUGUCGAGCCUUAUCAUUCCUUUUUUGCACCAUUCACAACUCUUACAGCGCCGAUGCCAACCAUGACAAACUGACCAUCCCUCCAUUCUACUUUCUUCUCCCUCUUGAUACCCGCCACCCUUCUUCCUCGAAUUUCUAUUAACUCUCUUCAAAACCCUCACUUAUUGGGGUAAUCUUUGACCCUAACCCUAAACAAACCCCCAUCACUUUGUAAUCAUCUUUCUUAUCAUUUUCCCUGACCCUAGGUGGUCUAAUUUUGUGUAGGGGAAUGACUUUCCGAGCAAGAAGACUAGUGUGUAGCCUUUUGCACUAAUCACUUGAUCGAGGUAAGCCCCUAACCUCCUUAUUUAAUUUCAAUAGUUCACUUGGAAUAAGGUUAGGUUAGAGAAAACAUAGGACUACGAUUAAUUUCGGAAAGGGAUACUAAAAAAUAGAAUUUGAAACUAAGGUACAUAGCCCCUUUCACAAUUUGGAUUGAAUUCCUCUCCUUGCUCGAAUAGGACUAGAUAUCCUAAAAUAAAUAUGAUUAUUAGAAAUAUUCUAGAAAAAAUUAAAAUUUAGAAAUAUUGUAAAACAAACUAAAAUUUCUGAGGAGGUAGAUCUCGACUUUUACAUUAACUCUGCCUUCUAUCGCUCCGCCUGAUUCUUCUCGAAUAGAAAACUAUGCCGAUCAAAGUUUUAUCCAAAAAGAAAACUUUCGGUUUGGCCAACCCAUUUCAGAGCCUAAAUGGUGGAAUUUUGUUCCAAUUCAACCUUUCCGUUGUAGAUCUUGAAAAGCUACCCAAUUUGAAAAAAAAGAUCAUCUCAAUCGGGCAUAGUAUAACCAAGACAUAACCUUCGGAAGUUUGUCAUGCGACUCGACUUUCCGAUGUGGUAGAUCUCGCUCCAGAACCCUAUCUAGCCCUGCUUAUAGUGGCCAAAGCAUUCCAUAUCGAGUCUGGUGAUCCUCUUGAAUACUUAUAGUGGCCAAAGUCUCCAUCGAGUUUGGUAAUCCUCUUGGAUACUCGUAAUAGCCAAAGUGAUCCAUAUCGAAUCUAAAGAUCCUCCUGGAUUAAGGCUCCCUCUAUUUAGGGUAUUUAGUUCCCACUAAAUUAGAACUGAAAGUGGAAAAACAUCUGCUUUCCCGUCUCACGGUCGACCCACCUAGCUUUUCUCGAAGAUGGUUUCUGACCUAGCUCUCCUUUGCUCUCGAGUCUCGGCAAACCACUUGCUCUGCUCUUGCAUCUGAACUUCGUGGUAGGUACCCUCCUUGUUCUUCCUCGUUGAUGACUAUGACAAUUCCUCCUUUGAUCUCAAUCUCGGUAAAUCGGUCAGUGGAACCAACAUACGAGAGUUUGGCCUCUUAUAAGUAGUAUUAAGUUCUCGUACCAUCAUCACAAACUUAUUCCAGGCAUUAACAAGUCGCUUUGCCUGGGCAUCAGCUACAAGGUCAAUGUUACCUUGUGUUCUAGAGGCAUUGAUCAUGAACUCCACAUCUUUCAUGAGACGAUACUUCUUCAGACGCCAGUAUAAGAUUACAUCUCGAUCCCAAAGGUACGGGAUCCCAAGGAUAACCUGCAAUCCAAAGGAACUACUUGAUCGGACUCUAUAUGGAUUACCAGGAGCUAAACAACGGAACAAGUAUCCCUUGCAAAGAAUUGAUGAUCUUUCAAUCCGUUACAAGGAUUGCAAGUCUUCUCAAAAAUUGAUCUUCACUCCCGGUACCACCAGUUAAAAAUUACGGUUGAAGAUGUGCCCAACAUAGCUUUUAGAACUAGGUAUAGACAUUAUGAAUCUUGCUGAUGCCUUUUGGGUUCACGAAUGCACUUGUAGGCUUUACGGAUCUAAUGAAUAGGAUGUUCAAACCCUUCCUAAAUCAAUUUGUGGUAGUGUUUAUUGAUGACAUCUUAGCAUAUUUGAAUGGCCAAGAAGAGCAUGAGGAAAGGAUAAUACUGCAUACCCUCAAAGAAAAGAAACUUUAUGCUAAGAUGCAAAAAUGUGAGUUUCAGUUGAGCAAUAUGAGCUUUUUGGGCAUGUGAUCUCUAAAGAUGGCAUCUCUAUGGACCAGAAGAAAGUAGAGGUAGUGGUUGAAUGGAGUCAGCCCACUAAUAUAUCUGAGGUGCGCAGCUUCCUAGGAUUGGUUGCAUAAUACUAAAGAUUCGUUAGGAAUUAUCUUGCAUUGCUAUACCAUUGUCUCGCUUGAGUUAGAAACAAGCCAAGUUUGAGGAAACAAAAGAGUGCGAACAAAGCUUCGAGGAGCUAAAGAAGAAAUUAGUGAUAGCCUUGGUCCUAACCAUUCCAACAGUGACAGGUUUCAUAAUUUUUAGUGAUGCAUCUUAGAAGGGUUUGGACUGUGCUUUGAUAUAGAGUGGAAAGGUAGUAACCUAUGCCUCCAGAGAGCUAAAGCCAAAUGAGAUGAAUUAACCCACUCAUGAUUUGAAGAUAGCAGAUGUGGUCUUUGAAAAGUGGAGGCAUUGUUUGUAUGAGGAGCCACGUAAGGUCUUCAUAGAUUAUAAAAGUUUAAAGUACAUGUUCACCAAAAGGACCUAAACGUGAGGUAGAGAAGAUAGUUGGAGUUAGUAAAAGAUUAUAAUCUGACUAUUAAUUAUCACUCAAGUAAGGCAAAUAUUGUAGCUGAUGCUUUGACCAGGAAAUCUUCAAGUGAUUUAGCAACUUUGAUCACCAUACAAGGGCAUGUUCUGAUGGAUCUAGAGAGGCUUGAAAUUAAGGUACGGCUGCAUCAUCCUGAUGCCUAGCUAGCUAAUCUUAAAGUGCAGCCUACCCUAAUCAAGAGGAUUAAGGCAUCUCACGGAUAAGAUCCAGAACUCCAAAGAUUAGAGAGGCAGAAUUUGAUGCCACCUAGAAUUCAGAAUACAUGAAGAUGGCUCCCAAAGGUUUGGUAGCAGGUUAUUUCUACCUAAAAUUCUAGAGUUGAAGAAAAAGAUCUUGGUUGAGGCCCAUAAUUUCACAUACAUUGUGCAUCUGCCCAUAAUUCCGCAUACAUUGUGCAUCUAACAACACCAAGAUGUACAGAGAUUUGAGAGAGAAUUUCUAGUGGAACGAUAUGAAAAAAGAUAUUGCUCGGUAUGUUGCAUAGUUUUUAGUGUAUGAGCAAGUAUUUAAUGCAAGGUUCGUCGUCUCGAUACUAAACCCCGUACUGGUGUCAUCCUAUUAUAGUGUCGAUACACGGCAUAGCACGAAACGGUGAGAUAUACUGAAUGUCGGUAUGGUACGAGACGGCGAGGCAUACCGAAUAUCAAUACGGUAUAAGACUGCAUACCAGUUUGGUAUCGCUAGGGUACGGUACCUACUGGUACGGCAAAUCUACGUUUAGCGUAUGAGAGACCUGCAGGACCAUCGCAAUCCAUUCUCGUCGCUUAGUGGAAAUGGGAGCAUAUUACCAUGGAUUUCGUGACCGGUCUAUGUAGAACCCCUAAAGGUAAUGAUGCUAUAUAGGUGAUUAUUGAUCGAUUGACAAAAUCAGCACGCUUCUUACCCUUCAAAAUUAGUCUUUCUAUGGAGAGGUUGGUAAAUUUGUCCAUAAAGCAAAUCGUGAGGAUGCAUAGAGUCCCAAUUGCUAUUGUAUCGAAUAGAGAUACUAGGUUCGUAUCUCAGUUCUCUAAGAACUUGCAUAAAGCUACUGGUCUAGAUUGAGUUUCAAUACAGCUUUCCACCCACAAAUUGAUAAGCAGUUUGAAAGGACCAUACAAAUUCUAGAAAAUAUGUUGAGGGCCUAUAUCUUACUUGGAUGGUGCUUGGGAUAGCCACGUCUCUGAUAGAAUUUGCCUAUAAUUACAGCUAUCAAAGCAACCAUUCAGCAGGCACCAUUUGAGGCACUAUAUGAUAAAGGGUGCGGGUCCGCCAUGCUGGGAUGUUGGCGAGAAGAUUGUUGGGCCUUGAAUUGGUAGAGCAAAUUAUGAAAAACAUUCAGCUAAUUACGGAAGGACUCCGUACAACUCGGAGUAGAUAGAAAAGUUUUGGAAUUUUAAGUAGGAGACCAUGUUUUCUUGAAUGUAUCGUCUACUAAGAGUGUGAUAAGGUUUGGAAUUCGCGGCAAGCUGAGUUCCAGAUAUAUGGGUCUAUUUGAAAUUUUUGAUAGAGUGGGAGUAGUAGCAUAUUAGCAUUACACCCACCAUCUGAAGUACACAAUGUGUUUCAUGUAUCAAUGCUGAGGAAGUAUGUGCUUGAUCCUAGUUAUGUGGUGGAGUUUGAGUUGUUGAAACUUCAUGAGGAUCUAACCCACAAGAAGUACACAUUAUGGAUUGAAACUUCAUGAUGCUACACUAUUCCUCAUAACAAAGUUCAGUGAACCAAAUACAUUUAGAGGGAGGCUUAAUGGAUACUUGAAGAUGAGAUUUAGAGUUAAGUACCCUCAACAUUUUAGGACCAAAUAAUGUCAAUUUCAAGGAUGAUUUUUUUUUCUUGGGGAGAGGAAGCAAGAACCGAUACAAAUCCAAAUGGACCAGCCCAGAUGAACUGACCCAAAUUGAGGGUUGGAUUAUCUCAUAGCUACAACCCGAAAUAGGAGAGGCAGUCAUCUCCUUGCCAUCAUGGAGAGGAGAGUUGUUUUGAAACCAAUGCUAGGAGAUGGGAUCGAAUGCAGAAUAGCCACCGAAUAAAGGUGACAUGCAACUACCAUACCAAUAAAGACGAGGCGAGCAGAACCAACACCAUGUUCCCUCUAUUUCUCUACUUCCUCUUUCGAUAAGCGACUACCACAACCAUUUCCAACCAUAAUCUCUGCGUGCUUGUCGUCCUCGGCCUAUCAACCACCAAGGCACCAACCUUUCCUUGUUUUCUAUUUUGUCUCCCCUAUUUUGAGUCAUCAUCUUUUCAGUUCCUUCAUUGUUGAGCACCACCGCCACCACCCUUCUUCCUCCAGUUUCUCACUAUCAACGGUCGUUGCAUCUGCAACGGGCUCAUCACUGGACCAGCUCUCCCUAUUCCCCUUUUUCUAACCUCUCCACCACCUCUCAACUCCACUGCUGCCUCUCAAAUCCACCAACAUUCACUUCCACCACCGCCUCUCAACUCUCUCUCUCCCCCUCUCCCUCUCUCAAAUCUAAGCCGGCCUACCCAGCUCAUCAAUGCCUAAGGACUCCAUAUCUCACUUUUCUUGAUUUUUUCCAACCCCGGACCCUGCUUUC
rnacentral:lncRNA from 1 species